GAAAUGCGAUAAGUAAUGUGAAUUGCAGAAUUCAGUGAAUCAUCGAAUCUUUGAACGCACAUUGCGCCCGCCAGUAUUCUGGCGGGCAUGCCUGUUCGAGCGUCAUUUCAACCAUCAAGCCCCCGGCUUGUGUUGGGGACCUGCGGCUGCCCGCAGGCCCUGAAAAACAGUGGCGGGCUCGCUGUCACACCGAGCGUAGUAGCAUACAUUCUCGCUCAGGGCGUGCUGCAGGUUCCGGCCGUUAAACGACCUUCAUAACCCAAGGUUGACCUCGGAUCAGGUAGGAAGACCCGCUGAACUUAAGC
rnacentral:misc_RNA from 1 species